GCCCGGGUGGUGAAAUUGGUAAACACAGCGGACUUAAAAUCCGCCGCCGUUAGGCUUGUCGGUUCAAGUCCGAUCCCGGGCAC
rnacentral:tRNA from 1 species